AUAACGAUAACAGCUGUUUGAUUCCACUUGCCAGCUAUGAGAUCGAAGAACUCUGGAAUCACUUGGGUACUACAGGCAUAAAUGAGGGCAAAAUUUAAACUUUUAUUUUCUGUAAUGUGAUAAUUACAUAUUGAGGGGAAAAUGGUGCAGACUUUGCAAUAAAUUAUUGCUCAACAUAAUCUCCUAUUUCUAAUGAUUUAGUUUAUAUUAUUUUCUGUAUUUGCACUUAUUCUCUAUUGGUUAUUUCCUAGGUGUAUCUCAAGAAGGACAGAAAAUUAAGCAAAAGAAUAGCGUACACUCUGGAUUUUCUUCCUCUAUACAGACUACAGUGACUGAAGUGUUGAAUCCACUCGUAGAACCAGCUUACUGUAAAUACUCAAUUUCAAUAGACUGCCAAAAAGAACUGCAAAAUACUUCAAAGAUUUGUUCUAGGCUGAUUCCUGCAUCUCCUCAUUUCUGAUUUAUAGGCAAUAAUUUCAAACUCUAACUUCAAGCUUUCACUGAGAACAUAGAUUCUACAGCAAGGAAAUAAUAGUAAGUAUUUAUGUACAUGUUAUAACUUUUUUUUUUUGAGAUGCUCAAUGUUUGUGACAUUUACUCU
rnacentral:lncRNA from 1 species